UGUUCAGCGUGCGAUAGUGGGUGCACGAAAUAUGAGGCACACGAAACCAUUUCAUCUUGCGCGUUGAACUAUUUUCCCUGCGCAGGUGUAAUAGAAGUUGUUUUUUCAUCGCGGCGUUUAUAUAGGGUAAGGGACGUGGGUGUUGGAGAGACGAACCCAAUUUGAAGCGCGUGAAGAGGAAUAGCAGACGCGCAAAAAGUUGCUCAGAAAAAGAAAAAAACGCGCAAGAAAAGAAAAGGAGGGGAAGCAGAGCAGGGGCGUAGCGCCGCCGGCCACAUCAACAUUUCGGUGACCACGGGAGGGGCGGCGUGUCUCCACUGCCUUCUAGCCAUACGGGCGGCCCGGCAACUCCAGGACCACGGGCUUGGGGGCUACUACUCCGGCGACCACUGCUCGGUAACUCCGGUGAAGCCGCCAGGGUCCCCGCCGCCUCCCGCCGACAAGGAUGCGGCUCUUCCUGCCCUGAACUAUUCUGACAGGCUGACAGCUCCUCUUCCAUCACCAAAGGCCCUGAACAUUGAACAUAAGUAUUUAUGUUCAACCACCCUAUCAUUGACGUAACUGCAUUGUUGCUUGUUCCUUGUUCCAGUUGUAAUUUUCAAUUGGUGGUUGCUGCUUGCAAAUAAUUUAGAGGUUGAUGAUAGAUUGUUCUCUUUUCAUUAGUAUGUUCUAAAAGAGGAGCAAAACCAUUCCGAAUUAGCAAUUUGUUGUUGCUACUCUGCAAUUUUCUGCUUGGUAUCCAAAAUAACAAACAGGAAAUCCGUGGUUCAAAAUUUUAUCUCUUUCGUUAUGAGAGUUUGAAGAAACAACCUCUUGUAGUAGUGUAGGAAAAGCUGCGUACUAUAGACUCAAAGUGGUCGGACCCUUCCCUGGAUCCUGCGCAAGCGGCAGCUACGUGCACCGGGCUGCUCUUAUCAGAGUUUGAGGAUCUUUACCAACUGCACUAGAAUAUUAGGAAGCUAAGAAAAAAGGAGCUCAUUUUUAUUUAGAUUAAAACUGCAAAUACUGCAAUUAACAAAUUGUUGUAAUUUAAAUGAAUUACCAACAUUGUUGCUAA